rnacentral:rRNA from 1 species
UACGGGGGGGGCAAGCGUUGUUCGGAAUUACUGGGCGUAAAGGGCGCGUAGGCGGCCUUCUAAGUCGGAUGUGAAAUCCCUCGGCUCAACCAAGGAAGUGCAUCCGAAACUGCUGAGCUUGAGUACUUAAGAGGAUCGCGGAAUUCCCGGUGUAGAGGUGAAAUUCGUAGAUAUCGGGAGGAACACCAGUGGCGAAGGCGGCGUCGUGGGAAGAUACUGACGCUGAGGUGCGAAAGCGUGGGGAGCAAACAGG